AUAAAGUAUACCAGAUUUGGCGUUAUUACCUUCAGAGUGAAGAAACAACACCCCCCAAAUUGAGGUUGAUUUUGAAACAUGAUAGCGAAAUCGAACUGGCCAUCGAAAAUACACAGUUCAGCUUCUCUACCCCUAGAUUUUUUAAUGACGGGCCUUUAAAGUUUAAAUAGGUACUUCAGUCGAUAUUAUUGGAGUUUGUUUGUACGUGUCAAGUUUGAAACCGCGAAAAGUCUUACGUCGUUACAUGUCCCUGACAGACCCAACUGCAGAUUUAAUUGCUGAUUCGGAUGAAAGAAGCUGGAGAGUCAUGUUAUCGGAUGAUGCAGCUGAAAAAAAUCGAGUUUCCUUUUUCCUUCACACCUGUGGUUGCCAUUAAAGGAGCAAAAAUUAUCAAGAAAUCAGCAACGAUCCAACUCCUCCGACUAGCUUCCCUCAGUUUCGCUUCCGGUAUUCUUUUAUUUUUUCGACUGGAAUGAAUAGUCUCAAUUUCAAUUUGCAAGGAAGUGGAAUUCAUAAGUACCUGGUCAGAAAAAUAAUGUGUAGGUAAGUAAAUCAGCGAUUCUGAUAAAAAAUAGUUGGUGUAAUAAUUGUAACCACAAAAUAAAAAGUAAAAAACUACAAAUUAUAAACACAACACACUCAA